rnacentral:rRNA from 1 species
AUACAUGCAAGUCGAGCGAACAGAUUACGAGCUUGCUCCUUUGAAGUUAGCGGCGGACGGGUGAGUAACACGUGGGUAACCUACCUAUAAGACUGGGAUAACUUCGUGAAACCGGAGCUAAUACCGGAUAACAUAUGGACCCGCAUGGUUCUAAAGUGAUAGAUGGUAUUGCUAUCACUUAUAGAUGGACCCGCGCCGUAUUAGCUAGUUGGUAAGGUAACGGCUUACCAAGGCGACGAUACGUAGCCGACCUGAGAGGGUGAUCGGCCACACUGGAACUGAGACACGGUCCAGACUCCUACGGGAGGCAGCAGUAGGGAAUCUUCCGCAAUGGGCGAAAGCCUGACGGAGCAACGCCGCGUGAGUGAUGAAGGGUUUCGGCUCGUAAAACUCUGUUAUUAGGGAAGAACAAACGUGUAAGUAACUGUGCACGUCUUGACGGUACCUAAUCAGAAAGCCACGGCUAACUACGUGCCAGCAGCCGCGGUAAUACGUAGGUGGCAAGCGUUAUCCGGAAUUAUUGGGCGUAAAGCGCGCGUAGGCGGUUUCUUAAGUCUGAUGUGAAAGCCCACGGCUCAACCGUGGAGGGUCAUUGGAAACUGGGAAACUUGAGUGCAGAAGAGGAAAGUGGAAUUCCAUGUGUAGCGGUGAAAUGCGCAGAGAUAUGGAGGAACACCAGUGGCGAAGGCGACUUUCUGGUCUGUAACUGACGCUGAUGUGCG